CCGCCAGCCCUGCCGGCCGCUGCCCUGGAGAAGGAGCUCCAGACGGAUCCCCAGUGAGUAGGAGGCAGCCGUGUGAGUCAGGCGGCUGAGGGAACGGGCUGCACCGCGGAGAGGAGGUGCGAAGCAGCGCGCCGUUUCCGGGCUCUGGGAAGCCGAGCUGCCGAGGCGCUCGAAUUGAGCUGCUGCCUCAUUCAGUC
rnacentral:lncRNA from 1 species